ACUUUGGCUCAAAAACGAGUGGAGAUAGGGGUAAAACUGAGGAGAAACCAUCACUGCAAUUCUGCCAUAAUUUUCAGACAUUACACCAGAGGUAGCAAUGACAAUCCUACAUAGCAUCAGUUUCAACAUCCCAAAUACUCAACUCAAGCUAACCUAUUCCAUCACUGGCCAAAAUAUAGGUCGCCGAGGAGUAAAAACAAAAGAGAACCGCUCAACAACCAGCCAA
rnacentral:lncRNA from 1 species